GGUAACUGACAUAGAACUCUCAGGAGUGAACAGGGGGGUGACCACAAGACUGACAUAGGGAAGCUCCAAUGAGUCAUCAGAACUCAGUCAAAAGAGUGUGUUUACAUGUUGCUUGGCCUUGCACACUACACACUGAGGGUUUACAGAGAGUAAACGGAGAUAUUUAGACUUCACCCACAUUGCUUCUUUGGACUGCACACUGUGUGAAGAGAAACAGGCAAAGCAGGGAGACAGGAGCCUGCUAUCCAGUGAAAAAGGACAGAAACUACAGAUACACCAUAUUUCCUUUCCAUGUUCUCUAGGGGAAAAGCUGACUGGGCAAGCCUAUUUCCUGCUGGUUUAUCACUUUUUGCACCAGAAGUAUGGUUUUGGCAUUUUUCCUUUCAGCUUCAAUGGAAAUGAAGAAUUAACUUGAUUGAGGUGUU